rnacentral:rRNA from 1 species
GCUCAACCGGGGAGGGUCAUUGGAAACUGGGGAACUUGAGUGCAGAAGAGGAGAGUGGAAUUCCACGUGUAGCGGUGAAAUGCGUAGAGAUGUGGAGGAACACCAGUGGCGAAGGCGACUCUCUGGUCUGUAACUGACGCUGAGGCGCGAAAGCGUGGGGAGCGAACAGGAUUAGAUACCCUGGUAGUCCACGCCGUAAACGAUGAGUGCUAAGUGUUAGAGGGUUUCCGCCCUUUAGUGCUGCAGCAAACGCAUUAAGCACCCCGCCUGGGGAGUACGGUCGCAAGACUGAAACUCAAAGGAAUUGACGGGGGCCCGCACAAGCGGUGGAGCAUGUGGUUUAAUUCGAAGCAACGCGAAGAACCUUACCAGGUCUUGACAUCCUCUGACAACCCUAGAGAUAGGGCUUCCCCUUCGGGGGCAGAGUGACGGGUGGUGCAUGGUUGUCGUCAGCUCGUGUCGUGAGAUGUUGGGUUAAGUCCCGCAACGAGCGCAACCCUUGAUCUUAGUUGCCAGCAUUCAGUUGGGCACUCUAAGGUGACUGCCGGUGACAAACCGGAGGAAGGUGGGGAUGACGUCAAAUCAUCAUGCCCCUUAUGACCUGGGGCUACACACGUGCUACAAUGGGCAGAACAAAG